rnacentral:other from 1 species
AGAUUCCUGGGGUGUACGCGAACGGCGUAUUUUACCCACAUUUCGAUUACUGGAGUUCGAGUCGAUUCGCGGAUGCCAUGCCCCCCACUGCAUGCGGUCGGCCAGGGGACGGCAGAAAACGGACGCAGGGCACCAACCUGCCGAGGAGGCGGGUGAAAAAUCCGUCGUGGACGGCAUUCUGGGAAUCGU